AUUGAACGCUGGCGGCAUGCUUUACACAUGCAAGUCGAACGGCAGCGCGGGGCAACCUGGCGGCGAGUGGCGAACAGGUGAGUAAUAUAUCGGAACGUACCCAAGAGUGGGGGAUAACGUAGCGAAAGUUACGCUAAUACCGCAUACGAUCCAAGGAUGAAAGCAGGGGACCGCAAGGCCUUGUGCUCCUGGAGCGGCCGAUAUCUGAUUAGCUAGUUGGUGAGGUAAAGGCUCACCAAGGCGACGAUCAGUAGCUGGUCUGAGAGGACGACCAGCCACACUGGAACUGAGACACGGUCCAGACUCCUACGGGAGGCAGCAGUGGGGAAUUUUGGACAAUGGGGGCAACCCUGAUCCAGCAAUGCCGCGUGAGUGAAGAAGGCCUUCGGGUUGUAAAGCUCUUUUGUCAGGGAAGAAACGGGAGUGGCUAAUAUCCAUUCUUAAUGACGGUACCUGAAGAAUAAGCACCGGCUAACUACGUGCCAGCCGCCGCCGUAAUAC
rnacentral:rRNA from 1 species